UCAUUUCUUGAUACAUUACUU
rnacentral:piRNA from 1 species